rnacentral:rRNA from 1 species
GCCUAGCCGUAAACAAUUAACUUACACUAACAAACGCCAGGGAACUACGAGCUAUGCUUAAAACCCAAAGGACUUGACGGUGUCCCAUACCCACUAGAGGAGCCUGUUCUAUAAUCGAUGAUCCCCGCUAUACCUAACCAUCCCUUGCUUUAUCAGCCUGUAUACCUCCGUCAUAAGCCUACCAUGUGAACGUCAACAGUGGGCCCAACGGUUCAUAUAAACCAACAUGCCAGGUCAAGGUGCAGCUCACGGAAUGGUAAGUAAUGGGCUACAAUUUCUAAUCUAGAACAAACGGAAGGUUAUGUGAAAUCAUAACAUAAAGGUGGAUUUAGUAGUAAAAAGAAAAUAGAGUGUUCUUUUUAACCCGGCCCUGGGACACGUACACACCGCC